rnacentral:tRNA from 1 species
GUCCGCGUAGCUCAGCUGGAUAGAGCGACCGCCUCCUAAGCGGUAGGUCGGAGGUUCAAAUCCUCUCGUGGACG